rnacentral:rRNA from 1 species
UGUCCAGACUCCUACGGGAGGCAGCAGUGAGGAAUAUUGGUCAAUGGGCGCGAGCCUGAACCAGCCAAGUCGCGUGAGGGAGGACGGCCCUACGGGUUGUAAACCUCUUUUGCCGGGGAGCAACGGGCGUCACGUGUGGCGCCACUGAGAGUACCCGGAGAAAAAGCAUCGGCUAACUCCGUGCCAGCAGCCGCGGUAAUACGGAGGAUGCGAGCGUUAUCCGGAUUUAUUGGGUUUAAAGGGUGCGCAGGCGGCGAGUUAAGUCAGCGGUAAAAUUUCGGGGCUCAACCCCGGCCUGCCGUUGAAACUGGCGGCCUCGAGUGGGCGAGAAGUAUGCGGAAUGCGUGGUGUAGCGGUGAAAUGCAUAGAUAUCACGCAGAACUCCGAUUGCGAAGGCAGCAUACCGGCGCCCGACUGACGCUGAGGCACGAAAGCGUGGGUAUCGAACAGGAUUAGAUACCCGAGUAUC